rnacentral:rRNA from 1 species
UUAAGUUUGAUCCUGGCUCAGACUGAGGNGCGUACGGCAGUGCCUAACACNUGCAAUGUCGAGCGGAUGACGGGAGCUUGCUCCUUGUAUUCAGCGGCGGACGGGUGAGUAAUGCCUAGGAAUCUGCCUGGUAGUGGGGGACAACGUUUCGAAAGGAACGCUAAUACCGCAUACGUCCUACGGGAGAAAGCAGGGGACCUUCGGGCCUUGCGCUAUCAGAUGAGCCUAGGUCGGAUUAGCUAGUUNGGUAGGGGUAAUGGCUCACCAAGGCGAACGAUCCUGUAAACCCGGUACUUGAGAGGAUUGAUCAGUCUACACUGGAACUGAGACACGGUCCAGA